rnacentral:rRNA from 1 species
GACAGAGGGGGCAAGCGUUGCUCGGAAUUACUGGGCGUAAAGGGCGCGUAGGCGGGAUGGCAAGUCGGUCGUGAAAUCCUUCGGCUCAACCGAAGAACGUCGAUCGAUACUGCUGUUCUUGAGGGUUGCAGAGGAGACUGGAAUUCCCGGUGUAGCGGUGAAAUGUGUAGAGAUCGGGAGGAACACCAGAGGCGAAGGCGGCCUACUGGGCCAGUACUGACGCUGAGCCGCGAAAGCCAGGGGAGCGAACGGG